rnacentral:rRNA from 1 species
AUGGCGACGGCGGCGGAGGGACGUCUCCGGCGAAGGAACAAGUCCAAGAAGAAAAGGGAAGAGGCCAGGGAGACGACCGUGCUCGACCUCCCCGACCACCUCUUCGAGCGCGUCCUCCUCGUCCUCGGCCCUUCCCCAUCCCUCGUCCGCGCCGCGGCAACAUGCAGGCGGUGGUGCCGCGUCGUCGCGGACGCCGGCUUCCUCGCGCGUCUGAGUUCGGUCCACGGGCUCACGAUACAUGCUGGGGACUACUGCCUCGAAUUCGGAGACACACCCAAUUACUUCGGCUUCGUCCCCUACUCGUCGGUUGUGCCUCCCGGACGCUUCUCCCUGGACUUCCUUCCGGGCACAGAGCACUCCUGGGCGCUCAAAGAUAGCCGCGGCAGCCUCCUCCUCCUCUCCAGUGGGAUGAGCCGGGACCGGGGCUGUGCCCGUGGCUCCUUUGGUUAUGACCUCCAGCUCGUCGUGUGUGAGCCGCUCACACGGCGCUACCAGGGGAUCCUUUGGCCUUCGGACGUGGCUGACUAUUAUCAAGAAGUACACCUAAUCGACAUCGAGGACGAGGCCGGAAAUCGCCGAGGCAACAUGUCCAACUUCAGGAUCCUAGCCAAGGUCAACGAUAAUCUGGCCUGCGUGUUCUCCUCCGGCAGUGAUGGCGGCUGGCGUCUAAAGCGCACCCAGGCCACCAUCACCGGUACAAAACCAUGGUUGGAUAAUUUGGUGGGGCGUGUCAACGGAUUUAUGUACUGGGGAAUCCAAGAAAGCGCCGCCGUGCUUGCCCUUGAGGAGGCCACUCUGGAAUACUCCCUUGUCAAGUUCCCGGAGAACAUAUGGGGGUUGUACAAUGAAGAUGACCGUACCUCUUGGGUCGUCGCCGGUGAGGACGGUGUCUUGUGCAUCGUCUGUCUGAUGAGCAACCAGCUCAAGGUCUUUGCACGAUGGCGCCAUGAAGGAACUGGAGAAGACGAGUGGGUGCUGGAAAAGACCCUGGGGCUGCAGGAGGCGACUGUCGGGUUACCAGGUCGUGAGGAAGGAUUUUUUGAGCAAGGCGCCACCAUUCUCACGGCAAAUUCCAUAUACGUUCUAGUGAGACCAAAGGAGAAGAAGUGGAUGUUCUCCAUCGAGCUUGACACAAUGAGGGUAGAAUGCGAGCACGAUAGAAACAACUAUGAAGGGCCAGCGUACCCGUACGAGUUGCCAUGGCCGCCGGUAUUGCCCGAUGAUCGUGGCAGGGAGAGGAGGUGA